rnacentral:rRNA from 1 species
GAAAAUUACAAGCAUAAGCUCAAAACUCAAAGGACUUGGCGGCGCUUUAAACCCACCUAGAGGAGCCUGUCCUAUAACCGAUAAUCCCCGUUAAACCUUACCUUCUUUUGCACUCAGCCUAUAUACCGCCGUCGUCAGCUAACCCUCCAAGGGCUAAACUAGUAAGCAGAACUGGUAAAACCCAAGACGUCAGGUCAAGGUGUAGCAUAUGAGAAGUGAAGAGAUGGGCUACAUUUCCUACUAAGGGACCUCGGAGAGUAAUUUGAAAAAAUUACAUUGAAGAAGGAUUUAGCAGUAAGUGAAAAAUAGAGAGUUUUACUGAAACCGGCCCUAAAGCGCGCACAUACCGCCCGUCGUUCUCCCCUGCUUUACUUCCAAAAUUUAAUAAACAAAAAUCCCUGCAGAGGGGAGGCAAGUCGUAACAUGGUAAGGGUACUGGAAAGUGCCCUUGGAUAAAC